GAUGAACGCUGGCGGCGUGCCUAAUACAUGCAAGUCGAGCGAACGGACGAGAAGCUUGCUUUUCUGAUGUUAGCGGCGGACGGGUGAGUAACACGUGGAUAACCUACCUAUAAGACUGGGAUAACUUCGGGAAACCGGAGCUAAUACCGGAUAAUAUUUUGAACCGCAUGGUUCAAAAGUGAAAGACGGUCUUGCUGUCACUUAUAGAUGGAUCCGCGCUGCAUUAGCUAGUUGGUAAGGUAACGGCUUACCAAGGCAACGAUGCAUAGCCGACCUGAGAGGUGGACCGCCACAACGGAAACUGAGACCCGGCCCGGACCCCAACGGGAGGCAGAAGAAGGGAAUCUUCGGAAAGGGCGGAAGGCCUGACGGAGCAAGCCGGGGGGGGUGAUGAAGGUCUUGGGAUCUAAAAACUCUUUUAUUGGGAAAAAAAAUAUGUGUAAGUAACUGUGCACACCUUGACGGUACCUAAUAAGAAAGCCACGGCUAACUACGUG
rnacentral:rRNA from 1 species